GGGGAAGCCAGCUGCAUGUCAUAUGGACAUUCAGGCAACCUAGGGUGUGAAUAAUGUGGCAAGGAAAUAAAAGGCCUGCUAGCAAAUGCUCAGUUGAGCUUGGUAAUGGGUCCUCUCCCAGCAUCUCCAGCCAAGAGCUUGACUGCAACCUCAUAUGAGAUUUUGAGCCAUAACCAUUCAGCUAAACUGCUUCUGGAUACCUGACCAUAGAAACUGUGAGAUUAUAAAACUUCCAGUUUCCCAAGACGCAACAUUGAAUUCAAUCAGAGGUAAAGAUUCUGGACUAUUGGAUUAAAUGAGGAGGCAGGAGCUACUAUCUCUUGCAGUGUGAAACCAGGGCCGGGGAUGAAGAUAUGGACACAUCUCAGCUUUCCAGGGAUGCUGUGAUGUGGUGAAAUUAUGCCAUUCAUUAGAAGGUGAUACUGUCAUCAAUGUGAGAGGCCCAGGACUCUGCAGGGCCUGAAGAAAUCCUGGGCAAUGAGUCUGAGGGAAGUCUCUCAGAGCAGCUACUCUGAGAGAGUAAAGCCGCAGCCUUUGUGGGGUAUGAAAGCAGCGUUCUCAUGGAUAAGGCUUAUUUGAGACGAAGUGGAGGCCUUGUUUUGUCCACUUACCGCAAUGUCCACUGUCCCCAACUGCAGCAUGCCAACAGCAAAUGUGUUUAGUGGAUAUGUGCUUUGUAGCUAACAAGAAACAGUAACAUUUAUUUUUCCAUGCCUAGUUGCUUAACAAACGAUAUUCUAAAAGGGCACCACGUUUUAUGUGUGUUUACAUGAAAACAAAUCAAAUCAUGAACUGGUGGUCAGGGAGUUCUGGAAACAAUAAACAAGUUGACCAUGCAACUGACAGCUCCCCUCUGAAAUGCAGACACAGCUAAGUCCAGCAUGACUCGCUGAAGGCACAUGCAAAGAACAGGCGGGGCAGUUUGGUG
rnacentral:lncRNA from 10 species